GUCAUUCCGAAUUUGAAGACCUGGUAAACGGCGAAGAAACGUCUCCUUCAUCUGAAGAAUCGGACCUGAGCUAUUCCGGACAAUGCAUUUACCCUGACACCACCGAUUUGACGAACGAACAUUCAAAACUCUCUGACGGGAAUUGCGACGGUUUGAUCGAAACAAACACCAUCAAAGAAUUCUCAGAUAUCCGGAAUGAAACGCCAGCAGGAAUUCCUGACACAACUGAAAACCUCUAUGGACUUGAGUCUGGUACUGUAGAGCGGAC